AUCCGCCAGAGUCUCCCUCCAAUCCAGAGGUGCCACUCACUCCAGACUCGACCAUCAGUCCAGUGGCGUCCUCUAGUCCGUGGUCGGCGGUGAGGGUUCCUGCUCCAGAGACAUUAAGGGGACAAGUAAGGGUGAAGUGCAGCGGGGUCCACGUCCCGAGCCAGAACCGCCACCUCGGAGUCAUGCCCACCCACACCCUCCCAUAUAGGUUUAGAUAUGUUUUGAUGUGAGAGGAUGCCAACCCCCAGUCCCAUCAUCGCCACCUCACCUGCUUUUAAGAUCACCUUUGGGCCGACUAGAGACACCAUGUAAUUGUGAUGAACUGAGAUAAUAUUUAGCUGCCUUCCCUGCUCCUAUGCACAUUUCUUUGCCAUGGUAGAGUACAUUACCGGUGAAUAUAUUAAAUGUACAGGCUACAAUGUGGGGCUCUCAUGCAUGGUAAUAACUACAUGUAUAUAUGACUUGCAUCCUUGGCACAACAUGAUAUUAUAUUCUACUCAAUCCAUAGGCUUCAUAAAUGUCAUUCAGGCUGCUUUGAAGUUGAUACAACUGGCUAUGAUAGCUGAGGUUCAUAGCUCGGUUCUGAACUAAUAUGUAUACCAAACGUUUGGGUCCAUACACAGAUCGCCUAGAUAGCUAGCUACACAUCCAUGGGCAUACAGGGAUUUUAAUCAUCCACUGCACAAUAAGCAAUAACAUAGUAUUGGGACUUUUUCUGUGCAUAUGUGGCAAUUAUUUAUUUCAGAAGGAGCCAUGAAAACUAGUGUUCUCUGUGCUCUAGGUCAUUGGACACCAUUAGAUGUGGUUAUUCCUGUUGAGUGCCAUGGUCUGUUGCUGUGGUCCUACAUGCAUGAAACUAUUUGAGACUCUACAGGUUCCAUGUCCUAAUAUGAAGGCAAUAUGAUGACGGUGGCUAAAUGCCAGAGGUGAUGAGCCAAUAAGAGGAGUUACUGUGAGUGUGACGUAAGAAUGACAAAUGUAUAAAACGUGUGUGCUGGAAGGCAGUUGUUCGGCUUUUAUUAUGAAGUAAUAAAAAGUAAAUUUGAACUCA